rnacentral:lncRNA from 1 species
CAGGGCAUUCAAAUGCUUAUAAAUAGGGGUCUACAUUUUCAUUUGUAGAUCAUCCCAAAACUUCUUCUUUCUCUCUUCAAUUAAUAAAGAGCUAUUCUUUGUGUGGCCGUGGAGUAGGCAAAAAUUGCCGAACCACGUAAAUCUUGUCUUGUCUUGUCUUGUGCAAUUUAUUGCUUUUCUCUCUUAAAUAUCCUUUUCCUUCUAUUAUCUUGACACGCUUCCUCAACAUCCCGCACCCGCUCUCGUCCCGUGUCAAGACGGGUGCGGCACCAAAAACGAAGAGUCCGCACAACUUAAAUUAACACUUGAAGUUGUAGUCCCAAUGUCAAGGAUCUUUACUGUUGUUAUAUGCAUACUUACUCAAGAGGCCUAAAGGGCAGCCCGAUGCACUAAGCUCCCGCAAUAGGCGGGGUUCAGGGAAGGGCCGGACCACAAGGGUCUAUCGUACACAGCCUUACUGUGCAUCUUCACUGUUGUUAUAUGCAUACUUACUCAAGAGGCCUAAAAGGCAGCCCAGUGCACUAAGUUUCGGCUAUAAGCGGGGUUCAGGGAAGAGCCGGAUCACAAGGGUGUAUCGUAAGCAGUCUUACCCUAUAUUUUUGCAAGAAGUUAUUUUCACGGCUCAAACCCGUGACCUCAAGAGGCCUAAUUGUCAAUAAUAUCAAGCAAUCUGGUUCCAAACAUGGACAAAAGAGAACUUCAACCAUAAGAGUGACUUCAUCGCUGAUGUAGAGGAUGAGCUUCGUGGGGUAGAAACAGUAAUAAAGGUAACAUUUAUGCACUCACCGCAAAUUAACUUCUAGUGGAAUUGACUGACGCACAUUGUGAUAUUCAAAAUUGGAUAUAGUUUCUGUCACAACAAUAUUUUAUUGAUGAUUACUCUUGUCGUUACAAUGAUAGGUUGAUAACAUGAUUGUGCUCAUGGAUUUGUAACAUUGCAUACAAACUCUCUAGAUUACUUAUAGGUCUGAAAAUGUUCCCAUUGAUUUGUGUUAGUUGCUACUUACAACAAAUGGACUCCGGACUUUGUACUUACCAUUUGUCCAAGUAAUUGAGCCAAACAGAUCCUCCUUUGAGGGAGAUGAAGCUUUGAAAGACACUUCAUAGCUUAAUUUCUUGCUUUUAUAAUUAAAUUCCAAUUUACUUGGAAUCACUUGGACUUCCAAUCCUUUUGGUGCCUCAAUGAUUGCAGUAUAUACUGAUGCUUCUUCACCAGUAUUUGUAACUGUUCUAGUAACUUUCUUCGGCUCGUUUUCUUUGAGACUAGAAAUAGCUAUUGAUGGAUAAUUCAUAUUAGAAACCAAUUCAGAGGUUGGGUUUUUUGGGCAUGAAAAGUCCUUAGGAACUGUACUUGAGAUCAGCUUUAUCUGUGAUAUGUUAAAGCCAGCAGAACAUAGGAACUGCAAGUAGUCGGCGACAUCUGUCUCGUAGACUAGACCUGGUUUUAAUGGACCUGAAGUGCUUGCUUCUCCUGCACCUAUGUCAUAUGGUGUUGCUUUGGAUCCUGAGACUGUAGUGAUUGGAGCCUUCAAAUUGUUUAUCUGAAUAGCUGUUGAAAAUUUGGAGUAAGCAACGGUAUCACUAAAACAAAAAAAUAGUUACUAGUUUACUUUUAUUAGGUUCUUUACCUGUGGUCAUAAUAGCUGAUUUGACAGCUGAAGGACUCCAG